rnacentral:lncRNA from 1 species
GAAGAGACCUCAUAUCCUCUGUCUUUCAGGAUCGGCAUGUAAAGACAAUACUGGGGAUACUGAGGCAUGGCUGCAGGACAAUCUGGGAGUAUUUGCACACCAAGCGCCCUAUGAUAAUUUCCGCAAGCUGAUGUCUAGUUUCAAUGGGUUUGAGGUCCGGGACAAUCUCACCUCCACCCAGCUAGCCCAUGUCUUUUUUGACUCUGGUGUCCUGGAUGAUCCUGGCAUGGUCAGCAGCCUCCUGAAGCCCUUGGAGAAGAGGCCUUUUGAAGACACUCUUGCUUUUGUGUCAGAGUUCACAGCCGUGGCCUCUCAGAAUGGGCUGACGUUCCUAGCAAACACGCAAGUGAGGGACUUGAUGUUUCAAACGGUCUUCAGCAAAAUGCAGAGCGGCUUCCCGACAGCCAGUACAGCCCAGUACGAAGACUGGUUCCAGAACAAGCUAACCCUGUGGCUUCCCAGUAUCAAUGCUUCAGCCCUUGCAGCUAUCCCGAGGUCUAUCUCCUGUGGCAUAUUUAAGACCAUAAUGGCUGGCUUGGAAAGCAGUUUCCAACAGAUGUCUCUAGAGAGCAGGGAAGAUGUCUUCAGCUUUGCUAAACGAUACUUGACUGCAAAGACAUCCCAAGGGAGUGAACCUUGUACUGAAAAUACUCAAGGUAGCUUGGACUGGUUACGUAGCAACUUUGGAUCCUUCAGUUCAUUGGCCAGUUACAAAGACCUGGUUGCUAUUAAUGCCAAUUUCCAUGCAAUGGAUGCAGUUGUGGGUCUCACACCAUCCCAACUGGCUGAGUAUACACUGGUGAGCGACGUUCUGCGUGACAGCGAGAAAGCUGGGAAGGUGUUUGGUGCUCUCAGCUCACACAACAUUGGGAAGUUCAUGGAUACUUUCAAUGCAAUUGCUCAGGAGCUCCGCCUCACUCAGCUGCCCCAUUUGGAGACGAGACGAUUCAUUCUAGGCGAAAUCUUCUGCCACUUGAGCAACAGCUUCAAAUUCUUUCUCCCAGAAGACUAUGCGGUGUGGUUUGGAAGAAGACUCCAUUUCUUCCUGAGCAGCCUUAACGCCCCAAACCUUGGCUUCCUUCCCAGGGACCUCUCAUGUGAAUCUCUGGCCGUCAUAGUGAAGGCUUUAAGUGAUCACCACACCAACAACAGCUUUGAAAAUCCAGAAGAUGUCUUGUCUUUCAUAAAGAAGACCCUCCAUUUCCAAUUACAAAAUUCAGGUUCUGCCUGUACUCAGGGCAUUUCCACAGAUAAAGAGUGGCUGGUGGAAUUUUGGGGGCCUUUUGCUGCCUAUGCCACAUACCUGGAUUUUGCUUCAUUGAAAGACGACUUCCGAGGGGAAGAUUCCCUUGACCUUUUCUCAGCAAGUGCGUUGGCUCAGCUGUCCACCAAAAGUCACACCAUCUACAGCAGUUCAGCCAUGGCGCUCAUUUUCCAAACUAUCCGGAAAAAGGAAGACCCAGAGCAAUUUCUCAAGGCUUACCUGGAGGAGUUUAACCCCUUUGUGUUACAGGUAAACAAUGGUUUGCAUGACUGA